rnacentral:lncRNA from 1 species
UCCUAUUUCUCUUCUCCCAGCUCUGUUUGCCAUUCACACAUGCCACUUGUCCACACUGCCUGCCGGAUGGGGCGGAAUGCCACCUGGGAACACCGAAGCCCUUUUCCCAUAAACUUUGAUGCUGAUCUACCGCUGAUUCCUGGCCAGGAGGUUUGGGGCGGGGUCGGGGGUUGGGGGGGACGACAACAAAAUACAUAGAAAAGGGAGAAAAGCUAAAAUUGGCGAAGAUGCUAGAACCUGCUGGUAAGCUUUGCAAAAUAAGAAAACUAGGUUUUUCUGGGAGCUGACUGAGUAGAGGUGUAGGUCAGGAAAUCACAUGGAACAAGACCAGAUGGUGUGGGCUGGCGCUGCUCGCAGGCUUGGCUCUCCCUACUCUCCUAGGAGCUAGCAGUCAGGCAACCACAGCGCCGAGAAUUUCCUAGCAAAGUCCUUUGUUCAAACAUUUUCUCCGUUUUAUUCGUUAAUUCACUGAUAGUUUUCCAGCAUUAACUACAACGUUAAUUGGGCUUCCUCUGAGCCACAUGUUAUACUUAGCACUUUACAAGAGUUAUCUCAUGUAAGGCGCUCAAAAACCUUGCAAAGUUUCAGAUCUUCUGGACGCCACAUGAUGCACUAGGCGUCCUUGGGCUUUGCUGUCAGAUAAACUCGAGGUGGCCCGUGCCCCCACCUCCCGUCCCUGCAACCUGGUAUACAUCCAUGGCGUGGCUUGGAGUCUCAGCACCGCCCUCACGGGCUCUGCGGCAUUGAGAUGCACAGUGCCUGGCAGCUAGUCAGCGCCCAAUGGGCAGGAAGUCCUUUAAAAGCUCCCAGCCUAAAAGACAACCUGACAGAUCGAACUGUUUCAACGUUAAAGUGAUUACGCAAGCAUAGUGAGCAUGAAUGGUAUUCAUUUAUAUCCCAAAUGAGAAAACAUGGAUUUUUUUUAAAACUACCAAAUAUAAUCUCCUAAGACCUCAUUUAUAGAAUGAAGUGAUUACUAGUUGGACUUAUCUUUCAAGAACUCUUUAUGAUUAGUUAUUUCUUUAAAUUUUUUCUUAUUUUUUAAAAAAAUAAAAU